rnacentral:rRNA from 1 species
UACAGAGGGUGCAAGCGUUGUUCGGAAUUAUUGGGCGUAAAGGGAGUGUAGGCGGUAAGUUAAGUCUCAUGUGAAAGCUCCGAGCUCAGCUUGGAAAGUGCAUGGGAAACUGGCAUACUUGAGUGUCGAAGAGGAUAGUGGAAUUCCCGGUGUAGAGGUGAAAUUCGUAGAGAUCGGGAGGAACACCAGUGGCGAAGGCGACUAUCUGGACGGUUUCUGACGCUAAGACGCGAAAGCGUGGGGAGCAAACAGG